UUAUGGGCAAUCAACCCAUCAUUCCACAAUCGAGCAAUAUAGCUUGCUACAGCAUCUUGGAACUUCUUGGCACGUGCUCGAGUAAUUGGCCCCAAAGGCAACUCCAUGGAUUCGGCACCUAUCUCCAUGGGCGAGCUCAUAUCAUCCUCCCUCUCUUCGAAGCGAUUCGUCCUCGAAUCGUCACCUACAUCAAAAGGAGAAAGGUCAGCAACGUUAAAACUUUCACUCACUGCAUACUCACCCGGUAGGUCAAUCUUGUAGACGUUGUCAUUGAUCCGUUCCAAUACUUG
rnacentral:lncRNA from 1 species